CUCAUGCUCUCUCCCGAGCCAUGCCGUUUUAAGGUUUUGCGCGCUUCGUUGCUUCCUCUAGUUUUCCCUUCUUGCUUUUUUCCUUUUCUUUUGGCUGUACUGAGCGGGUGCGCAAACGCCGAGUGUGAAGCGCGCGCAUGCAUAAAUAUGCAUAUAUAUACAAGCUGUUUUUCUGUGCAACACGUCGUUCUGACCAGUCGACAAGUAUGUACGCAUGUGACCGAAGUACACUUGCCUCUGUUGCACCACGGCUAUCUCAAGGGCACCGGGACCACCAAUAACGUGUUGCGUUGUGCAGUCCACUUGAUAAAGCGCAGGUUCAGUCCAGCAUUACGCUCCACAUCACCUCAACGCGACGAAAACAUCAAAAACGGUAAGUGGAUGCCCAAGUUUGCCGAGGUAUGGGGACAUUAUGUAGUUAGCCGGUCUGAACGUAAUCAUGACCGCAGGUCUCUUCUGCACAGCACCAGCACGAGUGCCUCUCAGUCAACAUCAAGGGCCCACCAGCCGUGCCUGAGGAAAGGCUGUGCAGGCUUUUGGCUUCCUCACAGAGUACAUACCAGACCCUGAUAUCACGCGCGGAGGUGGACUUCGGCAUCAUCAGGACCGAUGAACAAGUUUGAAAAAGCAAACAGGCGAUACGGCUGCCAUCGAUCACGCAUGGCGCUGCACUUGCCACGCAGUCGUAUUUUCGGCAAUGUGCGAAAAAAUAAAACAGAGGAUGAGGGGUGUGGAGAAGGUCCCACUGUUCAUGGAAUGAGGCGGGCGGCAACAGUGCAGCAGCCUGUUGCUGCGUUCUUCUUUGCGUUGUACAUUCUAUCGGUAGACCCCGCUCGUUUUGCCUGUCCUCCUCGCCGAUUCCCGCCACUGUGCGCUGAGCUCUGGAGGGAGGAGGGGGUGCUAGUAUGAGUGCGCACACACAGGGCAGUGCGCGUUUUAGCUUUCUUUCCGUAACUGCGUGCCGCGUG
rnacentral:misc_RNA from 1 species